GUCGAACGGUUUAUUGGUUGUAGCAAUACAAUUGAUGAGCAGUGGCAGACGGGUGCGUAACACGUGAACAAUCUACCAUUAAGUGGGGAAUAGCCCAUCGAAAGAUGGGAUAAUACCGCAUGUGAUCCUUUUCCGCAUAGAAGGGGUAUUAAAGCUGGGGACCGCAAGGCCUGGCGCUUGAUGAGGAGUUCUCGGCCUAUCAGCUAGUUGGCGAGGUAACGGCUCACCAAGGCUAAGACGGGUAGCUGGUCUGAGAGGAUGACCAGCCACACUGGAACUGAGACACGGUCCAGACACCUACGGGCGGCAGCAGUGGGGAAUUUUGGACAAUGGGCGCAAGCCUGAUCCAGCAAUGCCGCGUGCAGGAUGAAGGCCUUCGGGUUGUAAACUGCUUUUGUACGGAACGAAACGGUGAGCUCUAAUACAGUUUGCCAAUGACGGUACCGUAAGAAUAAGCACCGGCUAACUACGUGCCAGCCGCCGCAGUAAUAC
rnacentral:rRNA from 1 species